rnacentral:misc_RNA from 1 species
CAUAAUGGGAAAUAAGGGGAGCCUGCUUGUCAAGCCAGUUAUCCGCAAAAUCUGCGCUCUGUGUGCUUCCUGAGUUAAAGUCACGCCUACGGACUGGCCGCCUCCUUUCUUUUUCGCUCUUUACCGCUUUCUCAUUCCGACUGCCACUCUUUGUUCUUUCCUCUCCGCGUCCCCCCGACCCUGUGUGUCGUGGUUCGUGCCGGUCCCAGUUGAGUCUUGAGUCCCGGGAAGAGACCCUGCGCGGACUGGGGAGCCGUUGAAUUUUGCUGUCAGACUCCCAGUUUCCUCUUCUUCAGUGCCUCUUCAUGCCUCCCCCGGCUCUGUUUUUAUCUUCCCUUUACCCUCGCCUUGAAUUUCAGAAUGACUUUUACAGAUCCUGUAUCCGUCGGUCCUCCCCUCAACCCCCGCCCAACCUAGCCUGGAGACCCGAGUCAUUGUAUUCUGGAGAGCUGGCGGGUGGUGGAUACGUACUAUCAGCCCCGUGCCCUGGAGAAACAUGCUGACAGCAUCCUGGCACUGGCUUCAGUAUUCUGGUCCAUCUCUUAUUACUCCUCUCCCUUCGCCUUCUUCUACUUGUACAGGAAAGGUUACUUGAGUUUGUCCAAAGUGGUGCCGUUUUCUCACUAUGCUGGGACAUUGCUGCUACUUCUGGCAGGUGUGGCCUGCCUCCGAGGCAUUGGCCGCUGGACCAACCCCCAGUACCGGCAGUUCAUCACCAUCUUGGAAGCAACACAUCGGAACCAGUCUUCAGAAAACAAGAGGCAGCUUGCCAACUACAACUUUGACUUCCGGAGCUGGCCAGUCGACUUCCACUGGGAAGAACCCAGCAGCCGGAAGGAGUCUCGAGGGGGCCCUUCCCGCCGGGGUGUGGCCCUGCUUCGCCCAGAGCCCCUGCACCGGGGGACAGCAGACACCCUCCUCAACCGGGUUAAGAAGCUGCCUUGUCAGAUCACCAGCUACCUGGUGGCGCACACCCUAGGGCGCCGGAUGCUGUAUCCAGGCUCUGUGUACCUGCUGCAGAAGGCCCUCAUGCCUGUGCUGCUGCAGGGCCAGGCCCGACUGGUGGAAGAGUGUAAUGGGCGCCGGGCAAAGCUGCUGGCCUGUGAUGGCAAUGAGAUUGACACCAUGUUUGUGGACCGGCGGGGGACAGCUGAGCCCCAGGGACAGAAGCUGGUGAUCUGCUGUGAGGGGAAUGCUGGGUUUUAUGAGGUGGGCUGCGUCUCCACGCCCCUGGAAGCUGGAUAUUCAGUCCUGGGCUGGAAUCAUCCAGGCUUUGCUGGAAGCACGGGGGUGCCAUUCCCGCAGAAUGAGGCUAAUGCCAUGGAUGUGGUGGUCCAGUUUGCCAUCCACCGCCUGGGCUUCCAGCCCCAGGACAUCAUCAUCUACGCCUGGUCCAUCGGCGGCUUCACUGCCACGUGGGCAGCCAUGUCCUACCCAGAUGUUAGUGCCAUGAUCCUGGAUGCCUCCUUUGAUGACCUGGUGCCCUUGGCCUUGAAGGUCAUGCCAGACAGCUGGAGGGGCCUGGUGACCAGGACCGUGAGGCAGCAUCUCAAUCUAAACAACGCGGAGCAGCUGUGCAGAUACCAGGGUCCUGUACUGCUGAUCCGGAGAACCAAGGAUGAGAUCAUCACCACCACGGUUCCUGAGGACAUCAUGUCCAACCGAGGCAAUGACCUCCUGCUGAAGCUCCUGCAGCAUCGGUAUCCCCGGGUGAUGGCAGAGGAGGGUCUUCGAGUGGUGAGGCAGUGGUUGGAGGCCUCCUCACAGCUGGAGGAAGCCUCAAUUUAUAGCCGAUGGGAGGUGGAAGAGGACUGGUGUCUGUCUGUCCUCCGCUCCUACCAGGCAGAACACGGGCCCGACUUCCCCUGGAGCGUGGGGGAGGACAUGAGUGCAGAUGGACGGCGGCAGCUGGCUUUGUUUCUGGCUCGGAAGCAUCUGCACAACUUUGAGGCCACUCACUGCACCCCACUCCCAGCCCAGAACUUCCAGAUGCCCUGGCACCUCUAGGGACCAACUGGGACUCAUUAUGGAAGAAUGGGGUGAGAGGAGACAUGAGGAAAGACCCUCUUAUUUGUGAUUCUCUGUGUUCAUGUUGCUGUUUAUAGUUUGUGGAAAGUGGGGGACCAUCCCCCUUCUCACCACUGUUCCUCUUGCACGUUUCCCCUCAUUCAUGUGGCUGUACUUAACCUUCUCCAACAUACAUCCUGCAUUACAUGAAUGGAUUAUUCCUAAUAAUUAAUAAAAAGGUAUUUUUUCUACUAUCA